ACAUGCCUACAACAUAGUGUUAAUGCACCGGAUCUCAUUAGAACUCUACAGUUAAUCACGCUCAGGCUAGAGUAGUACUGGGAUGGGUGAUUGCCUGGGAAUUCUUAGUGUUUUACAUGCC
rnacentral:rRNA from 1 species